UUGAGUCAGUUUGUUUUGUCCGCCAUAAAACAUUUUCAAGUUCAUUACUUUUUAUCAGCAAGGGAAGAUAAGUCUCAUCUCAUCCCCAUAUUUGAUCAUAAUAUUUAAAAGUCUUACUUAACACUUCUUACGUUUUUAGGGUCCUAUGAUGCACAGCUCAAAUAGCAAUACUAAAAUAGUUUUCAGGAAGCAGAUUAUCACCUAAGAGAUAAUUCUAGAUUCCGGAUUCCAACUACUAUUUAAGUGAAAGAGUUUUUAAGAAUGAUGCAUAUUUAUCUAUAAGUAACCAAGCUUAAAAAAAUUGUAAAAUUCAAAAUGAAGGUUUUCUUUGCUCUAGCAUUCUUUGCUUAUGCCCUGACAGUAGCUUCGGCUGGGCGAUGCCUCGAACAAGCGGAAUGUGAUGAUAGCCAUUGUUGCGCAGGUCUUCCCUUUUUUGGUGGAAUUUGUAGACCACACACACCA